GAUGUAGCUCAGUGGUAGAGUGUUUGCUGAGCAUGCACAAGGCCCUGGGUUCUACCCCGGCUUAAACA
rnacentral:tRNA from 1 species